ACGGAAGUGGCUCAGCUGCUUAGAGCACCUGGUUUGGGACCAGGGGUCGCAGGUUCAAAUCCUUGUCUUCCCGACCA
rnacentral:tRNA from 1 species